rnacentral:rRNA from 1 species
CCGGGGUAGAGUAAUGCGUGACCAACCUGCCCCAUGCUCCAGAAUAGCUCUUGGAAACGGGUGGUAAUGCUGGAUGCUCCAACUUGACGCAUGUCUUGUUGGGAAAGUGUUUAGUGGCAUGGGAUGGGGUCGCGUCCUAUCAGCUUGUAGGCGGGGUAAUGGCCCACCUAGGCUUCGACGGGUAGCCGGCCUGAGAGGGCGGACGGCCACAUUGGGACUGAGAUACGGCCCAGACUCCUACGGGAGGCAGCAGUC